UACGGAGGACGCGAGCGUUAUCCGGAUUUAUUGGGUUUAAAGGGUGCGUAGGCGGACGCUUAAGUCAGCGGUAAAAUUGCGGGGCUCAACCUCGUCGAGCCGUUGAAACUGGGUGCCUUGAGUGGGCGAGAAGUACGCGGAAUGCGUGGUGUAGCGGUGAAAUGCAUAGAUAUCACGCAGAACUCCGAUUGCGAAGGCAGCGUACCGGCGCCCUACUGACGCUGAAGCACGAAGGCGUGGGUAUCGAACAGG
rnacentral:rRNA from 1 species